rnacentral:rRNA from 1 species
UUUUGUAGCAAUACGAGAGUAUCCUAGUGGCGAACGGGUGAGUAACGCGUUGGUGACCUGCCCCAAAGUGUGGGAUAACAGUCCGAAAGGAUUGCUAAUACCGCAUGUGGUUCCCGGGUUUAGAAGCCGGUAACUAAAGCAGCAAUGCGCUUUGGGAGGGACCUGCGUCCCAUCAGCUAGUUGGUGAGGUAACGGCCCACCAAGGCUACGACGGGUAGGGGACCUGAGAGGGUGGCCCCCCACAAUGGAACUGAAACACGGUCCAUACACCUACGGGUGGCAGCAGUAGGGAAUAUUGCACAAUGGGCGAAAGCCUGACGCAGUAACGCCGCGUGCGGGAUGACGGCUUUCGGGUCGUAAACCGCUUUUCAGGGGGACGAGGAGGGACGGUACCCCUGGAAUCAGUCUCGGCUAACUACGUGCCAGCAGCCGCGGUAAAACGUAGGAGGCGAGCGUUAUCCGGAUUCACUGGGCGUAAAGCGCAUGUAGGUGGUUCUGCAAGUCGUCGGUUAAAGCCCCUGGCUCAACUGGGGGAGGUCUGGCGAGACUGUGGGACUAGAGGGUAGCAGAGGAGAGCGGAACUCCCGGUGUAGCGGUGGAAUGCGUAGAGAUCGGGAAGAACACCAGUGGCGAAGGCGGCUCUCUGGGCUACUCCUGACACUGAGAUGCGAAAGCGUGGGGAGCAAACGGGAUUAGAUACCCCGGUAGUCCACGCCCUAAACGAUGCGGGCUAGGUGUGGGGGGGAUUUCCCUUCCGUGCCGGAGCCAACGCGUUAAGCCCGCCGCCUGGGGACUACGAGCGCAAGCUUAAAACUCAAAGGAAUUGACGGGGGCCCGCACAAGCAGCGG